rfam:Parcubacteria group bacterium CG1_02_50_68 cg1_0.2_scaffold_1833_c, whole genome shotgun sequence.
GAGUUGCCUCCUCUGUGAAGCUUGUGAGAAUCCUCAGAGACUAAACGCCGAACUCAACUCUCUUAAUUGAGAACAACGAGAUGAUAUAGUCCGACCUUUGUAGCGAUACAAAGAAAUGCUUGCAGCUACCAAUAGCAAGCUAAAUAACAUAGGAGAAUCGUCCUAAGGUAGCGUAAUUCCUUGUCGGGUAAGUUCCGACGUGCACGAAUGGUGUAAUGACUGGAAAACUGUCUCGAGGACUCGCUCGGUGAAAAUGCACUUCCGGUGAAGAUGCCGGAUACCUGUAGUUAGACGAAAAGACCCCAGGAGCUUUACUACAGCUUCGUAUUGGCAUUGCGUGUUGCAUGCGUAGCAUAGAUGGGAGGAUUUGAAGCAUCGGUUUCGGCUGGUGUGGAUCCGUCAGUGAAAUACCAUUCUUGUUGUGUGCAAUGUCUAACCCCGUUGGGAUCCAACGGGGGACCGUGCGUGGCGGGUAGUUUUGGUGGGGCGCUAUCCUCCUAAAAAGUAACGGAGGAGUCUAUUAAGGUUCUCUAGGCGCGAAUGGAAACCGUGCCGAUAGUGUAAUGGCAUAAGAGAGCUUAACUGCGAGACGUACAUGUCGAGCAGAUGCGAAAGCAGAGCAUAGUGAACCGAUGGUACGCCUUAGACGCGGCCAGAGAUUAACGGAUAUAAGUUACCCUGGGGAUAACAGGCUAGUUCCGCCCAAGCGUCCAUAGCGACGGCGGAGUUCGGCACCUCGAUGUCGGCUCACCUUAGCGCGGGGGUGGAGAAGCUCCCAAGCGUUUGGCUGUUCGCCAAUUAAAAAGGUACGCGAGCUGGGUUCAGACCGUUCAGUGUCUCAUUCAAGAUGUCAUCUUGAAAUGGGGAAUUGAGCGGUCUGAAUCCACGAGGUUAGUAAGACAAAAAUCACGGCGGUUGCGCGUAGGAAUACGCGCGAAGAAAUCAACUGAUAUCGAUGAAAUCCGAUCGCGUUGUGUACGCGAGGACAACACCGAGGGAAUGGUUCGACUCCGCUCACCAUGAGCGAUAAGAAUUGACCCGUAGAGACUGAAUGUUGAUCGUCGAGAACCGACGAAGUUACAGUCCGAUCCUCCGAGUAAUCGGAGUAAACGUAGAUGCGUGAGACAGGUUGGUCUCCUAUCUACUACAGGCGUUGAUUCUUGAGGAGGGUCGUCCCUAGUAAAGAAUUGCUACUUCAGAGAGAGAUCUCUGAUGAUAAUGUGGCUUAUAACGGUGAAGUCUACGGUGCUUCUGGUUUUAGAGUUUGAUAUCUCGCGGUCCUGUUGAUAUCAAACUCGCUUGAGGACCAGAAUAGCACUAUGAUAAUACCGUGGGAAGUCGAUCAAAAAUAAAUCUAGCGUAUGUCGCAGAUUUUCUUGAUGGCGAUGGCAGUCUUAUGUUUCAGAUAAAGAAGCGUAAAGACGGAGCGUUGAAAAAACGCCUUAUGGCUACCAUAUGCUUUUAUCAAGAUACGCGACAUGAAAGAGAAUUGUAUUGGAUUCAGCAGAGGUUCGGUAUCGGCUACAUUUCAAGAAGAAAUGACGGCAUGACUGAAUUGCGAAUCAAUGGGUAUGCGCAAGUGCGCGAUAUUCUAAAGAAGUUAAUUCCGUACAAAAGUUAUUCACCAUUUUUGGUUUGACCCCGUAACGACUCGCGCUGAAAGACGCGCGGACUCAUGUGUUGAGGAAUCGUUCCACAUAGAACGACAGCUCACAUGGGUAAGAUGCCAUCAUCCUCGUCCCGAUUAGUGGGAACGGAUGAAGAUAUAGUCUGCGCUCCUGGAAACAGGGGACGAAGCGACGAGAGGACCGGGAUGAACUGACCUCUGGUCUACCAGCUGUCCUGCCAAGGGCACCGCUGGGUAGCUAUGUCGGGUUGCGAUAACCGCUGAAAGCAUAUAAGCGGGAAACGUGCUCCAAGAUUAGGAAUCGUUAUGAGACUCCUAGGAGAUGACUAGGUUGAUAGGCUCUAGGUGGAAGCGCCGCAAGGCGUGGAGCCGAGGAGUACUAAUAUGUCCAGUCUCUCGUGCGG